rnacentral:rRNA from 1 species
AGCGAACGCUGGCGGCAGGCUUAACACAUGCAAGUCGAGCGCCCCGCAAGGGGAGCGGCAGACGGGUGAGUAACACGUGGGAACGUGCCUUUUGGUUCGGAACAACCCAGGGAAACUUGGGCUAAUACCGGAUAAGCCCUUACGGGGAAAGAUUUAUCGCCAAAAGAUCGGCCCGCGUCUGAUUAGCUAGUUGGUGGGGUAAUGGCCCACCAAGGCUACGAUCAGUAGCUGGUCUGAGAGGAUGAACAGCCAUAUUGGGACUGAGACACGGCCCAAACUCCUACGGGAGGCAGCAGUGGGGAAUAUUGGACAAUGGGGGCAACCCUGAUCCAGCCAUGCCGCGUGAGUGAUGAAGGCCUUAGGGUUGUAAAGCUCUUUUAGCAGGGAAGAUAAUGACGGUACCUGCAGAAAAAGCCCCGGCUAACUUCGUGCCAGCAGCCGCCGUAAGAC